rnacentral:lncRNA from 1 species
CGAUUGGAGCCUUGAACGUCGGUGGACUUUCCUGGAAAAAUAGGUGCCAGGCAGCGGGAACGACCCCUAGGGGGUAGAGGCAAACAGGUGGCAGAGGCUUGCAACCUGAAAGGCGAUGCCACUUUCCUGGCCUCGGGCUGGUGAGAGCAGACUCUGUUGGCCUCUUUAGGAAUAUUGCCACCCUUAGCCGGCCCUGAGAUUUGCAGGUGAGCUUUUUUCUGGAGCUCUGUGCAAGGCGACCGCGGCUUGCAGACAAUUUGGAACUCCAUCCACCCUAUCGAUGUACACCUUCAUUCAGCCUCUAUUCUCCUGACUUUUCCUUUUCCUAGAUGAAUGAACGCAGGUUCCUGAUGAAUAACAGUUGCCAAGUCAUGGAAAUGUUAAGCCCACUCUACCAGACUUCAAACCCUUUAGCUGGCACCGACAGAGUUCUGCUGAUGGGUUAUGCUGAUGGGUAUUUCCAAACAAUGGGAAAGGAGACCUUUAGUGUCUGUUUUUCUUAAUGAAUAAAAAGGCUGCAGGAUUUGGAAAAACACUUUAAAAUCGCAAA